UUAUGAUGCUUUUAACACUUGAUACAACGUACGUUGCAUCUACGGUAGACCUCGAUAUCAACCAUAUCGACCUCCAUCACGUCUAAGGAUGAUCGUUAAAGCAUUGACAACAGAACAAAAUGUUUAAUUUCAUUACUCAAAGCUCCUAGUGCCACAACAACCUUGAGGAGAAUUAUUAAAAAAAAAAGAAAAAAAUACAAGAGAACACAUCUUUCGUUUUAGGAUUGUUGCGCCCCAGGAUUCUCUUCGGCAUCAUUCUCUGAUCUUGACCUCCGUCCAUGGCCAUUCUCUCCUCUAUGGACUUGGGUCCUGUUCUCGUCAACCCGGUACCUUCUCACCUCUGUGCUCCCCAUAUCCUUGAUCUCUCCGACCGUCGCAAAGGCGGGGUGGGCCCUCCUGGUGGCAGGUUCUUUAGGUAUGGGUGGUAUGGGACGAGCCGAUAAGGACCUUCGCCGGACCCUCUCCGGCGGGCUCCGGGCUUGCCGGCUCCCGGAUAUCGAUGGCAUUGGGUUGUUUAGGCUUCUCGAGCUCUGGCUUAAUUUCGAUUCUUGUGGUAUCCUUCCCAAAACUAGCUUGCUUUUAUAGGCUAUUUCUUAGAUGAUGCAUUUAAUUUGGAAGAUUCGAGAUGGUCCCGCGUUUGUGCGUGUUUUGAAGGACGAAAG
rnacentral:lncRNA from 1 species